GUUGCAGUAGUACGCAUAGAGAAACAGUCGUGAGAAAGGCGUUUUGUUUAGUAGACGAAAGAAAUGCUGAGUUAUUAUAAAAGUCGAGUGUGCCUAAAGGAAAGGAUUUCGUGCGACAGAUACGUUCUUGUCUGUCUGGCAAAGAGAACGAGCAUGGUACGAACUGAUCAGCGUCUUCAUUGGUGCCGACUUUAACGAGAGUCCACAUGCUGGCGUACUAAGGGAUUGAAAAGUGCUAAAGGAAAAUUAGUCCGCUGCAAGAGAAAUGAGUCUCGUUAAAAUCAUCAGAGAAUCCCCUAAUCAGUCUCGAUGGGUUAACCGACAAAAUUGUAGCCAGUUAUGUUACGUGGCACUGUUUUGUGUACCUACGCACUCUACGCAAUGUCUUUCCUCCCACUGGAUAAUCUCUUUGCUACGAUCGGGACUCUUUGCUCGUGGAAGACUAUUAACUGCGCAAGACGGGACUAUCUGCCGGACGGUUGACGACGUGAAUGUGCCUGAUAUGCCACCCGAUAGAAUGGAAGGACUGUGGAUAAUAGAUGGACACGGGACCCAGGCUCUCCGAUGGGAAUGCUACGAUACAAAAGGUUAGUGUGCUGAAUUUAAAAGUACCUGACGCGUACUUGACCCGUCACUGGUUUUCGUCCUCAUCUCCACCACCAAGCAUUGUUUAUUAAUGUUUCCUGAUUAUGCAAGAUAAUGAAAUGAAGGAACUUGAGAAAGUAAUCGGCUGUUUUAUCAUCAGACAAUUAUCAUUGUCCAAACAGUUGAAGGAUGCUUCAAUUGCUAUUUUAAUAUUAAGUGUGACAUCUGUAGUAGGGAAUUAUUACCACAAGGACUAGCAUCGUAGCCACAAUGUCCCUGAAGACGACAAUGGCCGCCAUGUGGCAGGUUGUUUCGCGGUGGUUUGAAUGAGGCUGAUUAGAUCGAAGGGUACUUCAGAGAAAAAGGGAACAGGGCCUGCGUUUUACACUGAAGGGUUGUUACGUGGCCUGUACCAUACGAGUGAACGCUGCACGACACUCGCCAAAAUGGGGGUUGCUCGGCAGUUCAAGGGGGCGUAAACUCUUCCGUUCUUCCCCACCUUGAUAAAAGGGGUGAAAAGAGGGACCUGGCUGGGGGGAGGCAGAUGCACCGAUAUUGUCCUGAACCACCGUAUGUCAGAGGCUCAUGCAGAUCAGACCGUCCGUAAUACCCUUAAUGCGACAAGCAAACACCCUACUGUAAGGGCUGUGGGCCAUCUAGAGAAGCCGCUUAAGCAACGAAAUCUCUGGGGACUUUUGCCUACCCCCUUUUAGACUUUAAUACUAAUCGUGCAUUACGUUCUUCGAAGGAAGUACCGCGUGCUUACGACAAGAUCUGGAAAUUUGGAGGAAAAAAAAAAUUGAUCGACCCAAGGCAACAGUGAGUCGUGUGAAUUUUCCAAGCUAUUUUGAAAUUCAAAUAAAUCCAACGAUCGAAAGAGACGGACAAUCUUUUGGGUAAAUCUUGGAAAACCACAAAAAUCUAUUAUGCCGUUCAUCCUGAAUGAAACCACCACUUGGAUAUUUACCAGGAGUCAGCCCCAGGCGAGUAUAAUACGUUCACCGCAAUAUUUUGACAAUAUCCCUCACGCUGCCAGGACUAACCUGGGGUAAAUUCGUGGUCAGGAUCCUUCGAGGACACUGAAUCCUUCGAUACAGUCAGAUAUGUGUAUGGAUACACGCGUCCGCAUGCGCCACACUCGUCCUUCCACCUGGACCCAAGAGAAGUGGCCAGUCCUUUUGGUAUUGUCCAAGAUCCUUACAACAUCAGAAAUGCAGAAGUCUGACGGUUGACAUCAGUGGGGUGCACGCUUCUCCAUUGUUGACUCAUUGUUGGCAAUUUCUUCUUCUCCCUUUACAUUGGUCUAUCUGGUACUAUCUUCUGGAUUCACCAUGAGUCCUCAGGUCUUUGGACCCUUAGAUCCCUACGAGCUCCCAUUCACUGGGUUCCAUCCAAGGAAUAAUGGCCGUGCAAAAAAAGCUCAGCCGUACCGCAUGCUUCUCUGGUCUGAGUGUAUCUAUCCGACAUUGAGAACACCUUUCAUUGCGGUAGGACAAGGUCGGAGCAGGAUGCUACGAAGAACAUGACUUCCAGACGGGCAAAAACGCAUCGAUCGUGUUCCUCGAAGAUCCUCCUGCAGUGAUCAUGGAUUCACUGGCUGUAUCCUGCUGAUCCUAUAGAUCCUAUAGAUCCUGUACAUUAUACGUAUGCAGUAUAGACACCGUUCACGAUCCACGAUGAAGACCACACGGGCUACGUUAUUUCAGGGAGACAAUAAUGAUGACAGAGAAUUUAUCUUCUUUGUAAAUCUAUACAGAUAAAUUAUAGGUUAUCGUCGGACUUGCUUGUAUAACGCGUUAUCUGGUUGUACAGGGUUAUCCAGCUUAAAGGGAUAGUCCAGUUUCGAGAAAUGUCGUACGAGCGUUUUGUUUGUACAAAAAGUUGACAGUACAGUUUUAUAUUUUACACUAGUACGAUAGAUACAAUAUUUUGUUAUUGUCUCGCUGCUGCGUUCAGAUUGUUUUCAUUUAGUUAAUAACUUUCUCAAGUUUAUCAUAUUGUCUGUACAAGAUUUUUUGUGAACAACCCUUUAUGGGAGCUUUUUAUGAGCGUAAUGCGUUUGCUACAGUCACGCUUGGAAGUGACAGACCCUUAUCUGACAUCAGGACUAAGGGCGGGUUUUCCAAGCGCGACAUAAGUCGCUUGCGAUCAGUUUCAUUCACUGUCAUGACAUUAUUGAUCAUCCUGUGCCUCUUCGAAACGGACGAUGAGUCAGUUAGCGAAUCUUUGAAGUAAAAUUGAAAUACGAUGCUGUUGUCACGUGCAUUUUAUGUCAAGAAAUUUAAAGCCGUCGAUUUAAUUAAUUUAUAUACAAAACUUACGUUUUAGUCGGCGCCGGUUUGACUGUUGAAUUUUCAAAAAGUCUGCUAAAAACUGUAGGGUUCCAGUGUCACGUUAAUAGGCUUAACUCGAAACAAUUACGUUUAUCUGUUAUCAAAAUGGGGCUUGGAAAUCCAUUAUGUGUCUGGCUCAGUGUCAGCCCUUCUGGUUGGUAUUGAUCACGUGCCUUUACGUAUCGUGAAAUUCGCAAUUGCCAAUUUGCAAUAGAUAGGGAUUCUAAUGAUUGUUAUAGACUAAGUAUUAAGCAGUUUAGACGAAAAACAAGCGAAUUCUAAUGAAGAGACAAUUUUGAAUAUGUCAAAUCUAAGUAACAUAUAAAUUAUAUGAAUUAUCGUUUUCAUGUAAAAUAUUGGAUUUUUGACGUGUAAUCUUAUCAGAAUGCAAUACAAGUUUUCUGGCUUUGCAGAUCUAA